rnacentral:rRNA from 1 species
AACGAACGCUGGCGGCAUGCUUAACACAUGCAAGUCGAACGGAAUGCUUCGGCAUUCAGUGGCGCACGGGUGAGUAACACGUGGGAACCUACCCUGGGAUGGGGAAUAACCACUGGAAACGGUGGCUAAUACCGCAUACGCCUACGGGGAAAGGCUCGGCCGUCCGAGGAGGGGCCCGGCGCCCGAUUAGCUUGUUGGUGGGGUAAGUGGCCUACCAAGGCUACGAUCGGUAGCUGGUCUGAGAGGAUGAUCAGCCACACUGGGACUGAGAUACGGCCCAGACUCCUACGGGAGGCAGCAGUGGGGAAUAUUGGACAAUGGGCGAAAGCCUGAUCCAGCAAUGCCGCGUGAGUGAUGAAGGCCUUAGGGUUGUAAAG